GGGCGCCGGCGGCCGCGGCUGCCGUUCCGGGAGCUCGUUUGCAUCCGCCAGCGCGGCGAGCGGCGCGGGGCCCUCGGAGCAGGAGCCAAGAAGCCCCUAUCCCCACGGCGGCUGCGGCGACCACCUGAGGGCCGACGCCCAGGUAUGUAGUGGGGACAGCCGGCCUGGGGGCUGGUCGGCCUCGUGCUGGCCUCCCCACCCCCGUCUCCUUGCGUCUCGCCUGGGUGGUAAUCAAGGCCUCCGGCUGCCUGUCCGAGAAAUGCCUCCGGAGCCAGCUGUCAGGGCCGGCCCAAGGCUCCAAGCCACAGCGCUGGGCCUGUCACCCGAGGCUCUCCCCAGUGGCCAGCCCCUGCCUUUCCUGAGCGGCAACAGCACAGCCAUUUCAAACCAGCAAACGAGCCUCUUCUUCCUGGUUCAGACCCCCCACAAACCCCCUCCCCGUGAU
rnacentral:lncRNA from 1 species